CGGGGGCACCAGGCGCGAAAACUUUACAAUGCGGGAAACCGUGAUAAGGGGACACCGAGUGCCAGCAUCAUAUGCUGGCUGUCCAGGUGUGUAAAAUACACCUGUUAGCAAGGGCCGGGCAAGACCGGUGCCAGCCGCCGCGGUAACACCGGCGGCCCGAGUGGUGAUCGUGAUUAUUGGGUCUAAAGGGUCCGUAGCCGGUUUGGUCAGUCCUCCGGGAAAUCUGAUAGCUCAACUAUUAGGCUUUCGGGGGAUACUGCCAGACUUGGAACCGGGAGAGGUAAGAGGUACUACAGGGGUAGGAGUGAAAUCUUGUAAUCCCUGUGGGACCACCUGUGGCGAAGGCGUCUUACCAGAACGGGUUCGACGGUGAGGGACGAAAGCUGGGGGCACGAACCGGAUUAGAUACCCGGGUAGUCCCAGCCGUAAACGAUGCUCGCUAGGUGUCAGACAUGGCGCGACCGUGUCUGGUGCCGCAGGGAAGCCGUGAAGCGAGCCACCUGGGAAGUACGGCCGCAAGGCUGAAACUUAAAGGAAUUGGCGGGGGAGCACAAGG
rnacentral:rRNA from 1 species